UACGGGGGGGGCAAGCGUUGUUCGGAAUUACUGGGCGUAAAGGGCUCGUAGGCGGCCAACUAAGUCAGACGUGAAAUCCCUCGGCUUAACCGGGGAACUGCGUCUGAUACUGGAUGGCUUGAGAUUGGGAGAGGGAUGCGGAAUUCCAGGUGUAGAGGUGAAAUUCGUAGAUAUCGAGAGGAACACCGGUGGCGAAGGCGGCGAUCUGGACGAUGACUGACGCUGAGACGCGAAAGCGUGGGGAGCAAACAGG
rnacentral:rRNA from 1 species